GUAGGGUGCAGGCGUUAUCCGGAUUUAUUGGGCGUAAAGAGUAUCGUAGGCGUCCCGCCAAAUCUUGCUUUAAAGAUUAGGGCUCAACCCUAGGCAAGAGUAAGAGAUUAGCGGGAUUGAACUAGGUCGGAGAUGUUGGAAUUCCCAGUGAAGGAGUGAAAUCCGUUGAUAUUGGGAAGAACACCAAGAGCGAAGGCAGACAUCUAGGCCCUAGUUGACGCUGAUGAACGAAAGUUAGGGGAGCGAAAGGGAUUAGAGACCCCUGUAGUCCUAGCUGUAAACAAUGCCUGCUAGUUCCUCAGAUUUAUUCUGCGGAACGUAAGCUAACGCGUUAAGCAGGCCGCCUGGGAAGUACGCGCCGCAAGGCUA
rnacentral:rRNA from 1 species